rnacentral:misc_RNA from 1 species
GAUGAAGAACGUAGCGAAAUGCGAUAAGUAAUGUGAAUUGCAGAAUUCAGUGAACCAUCGAAUCUUUGAACGCACAUUGCGCCCGGCAGUAAUCUGCCGGGCAUGCCUGUCCGAGCGUCAUUUCUGCCCUCGAGCGAGUCCAGCAUCUAGGUGCUGGGCCCGCCUGGCGUUGGGGCACUACGGGAAGCCCUGUGCUGUCCCCCGUAGGCCCCGAAAUGAAGUGGCGGUCCUGCCGCGGCGCCCCCUGCGUAGUAUAACAGCUCGCUUCGGGACCCGGUGGAGGCCUGCCGUCAAACCUUACUCUCUAAGUUUGACCUCGGAUCAGGUAGGGUUACCCGCUGAACUUAAGCAUAUCAAUAAGCGGAGGA